CAGCUUAAAAAAUGUGUCUGACCUAUUUGUGAUGGGAGGCGCUCUUAUUCUUGAGUCUGCAGCUCUCCUGCACUGGCUGGAGAGGGAAGGUUAUGGACCUCUUGGGAUGACUGGGAUAUCCAUGGGAGGACAUAUGGCCUCCUUAGCAGUGUCCAACUGGCCCAAGCCCAUGCCGUUGAUUCCAUGCCUGUCUUGGUCCACAGCGUCUGGGGUCUUCACCACGGGUGUAUUGAGUAAAUCAAUUAAUUGGCGGGAGCUGGAAAAGCAGUAUUAUACACAGACAGUUUAUGAAGAAGAAAUUAUUCAUAUGCUCGAAUACUGUGGGACAGAUUCUUUCAAAAUGGGACACGAGUUCAUGAAACACUUCCCUAGCAAUGAAGACAAGCUGACUAACCUGAAUCUGGUUUCCAGAACUUUAAACUUAGAUAUGAGAGACCAAGUUGUGUCCCCAAAGCAUGCUGAGUGCCAUCAUUCUGGUAAAGCAUCUAUCAGUGCUACUUCAAAAGGACAGCUGUUGCAAGAUACAGCUAAGGUGGAACGCUUGAAUCAAACACUCACAACUAACAAAAGUUGUUUUGCAAGUUACAACCCUCAGUCAUUACACUUGCUCAGUAGAGAACAAAGAAGGAGCAACCUUCAAAAAGAAUCUUUAAUAUUCAUGAAAGGAGUCAUGGAUGAAUGCACUCACGUAGCAAAUUUCUCAGUUCCAGUUGACCCGAGCCUCAUUAUAGUGGUGCAAGCCAAAGAGGAUGCCUAUAUUCCGCGAACAGGAGUUCGGAGCUUACAAGAAAUUUGGCCUGGCUGUGAAAUCCGGUAUCUAGAAGGGGGUCAUAUCAGUGCUUAUCUCUUUAAACAGGGACUCUUCAGACAAGCCAUCUACGAUGCCUUUGAACGUUUCCUUCAUAAAUAUGCUAACUAAUUGGAUCGAUGUAUGGUAUAACAUCCUGUCUCCUGCUUUAAAAGAGUUCACCCUAUGAUGAUGUGAAAAACAAGCAGACAGCACUACAUACCUGAUUGCUGCCAAAAUUUAAAAACUACAUAUGAAAUUAAACCAUUGUACAGAAAAACAUGAGGUUUUUGCACACUGCUAACUUUUUAAAUGGAAAUUAUAUGGAUAGAUAUUUGGUGCUAAUGUUAACCUGCUCUGAGCUAAAGUGUUUAAAAGGUAAAUGUGUUUACUUUGAAAUCUGUAUUGUCCUUACAUUUAAAUUAGGUCUUCCUGGUCUGGUGUGUGUAUUAUACAUGUCUUCUGCAGCUUUUUAAAAAGAUAUUGUGGCACUCUGUCUCUGUCACUAAAAUUUCUAACAGCUAUUUAAACAUCUUUACUAUGAAUUCAUUGAUGGCAGAGCAAUAGCUUCUUGAACAAUACUUUUUUUUGUUGUUGUUUAAGGUUUAUUUGUUUAUUUUAUGAGUAUGAGUACAGUGUCACUGUCUGCAGACACACCAGAAGCGGAACAACAUAUUCCAUUACAGAUGGUUGUGAACCACCAUGCGGGUGCUGGGAAUUAACUCAGAACCUCAGAAGAGCAGUCGUGCUCUUGAUCGCCGAGGCAUCUCUCCGGCCCCUUGGACACUACUUUCGAGUAACAUUACAGUGCGGCUGUUAGAGCUACAGCAUUUUUGUAUUUUCAGACUUGAACUUUUACUUUUAGUAAAACCUUAAGAGUAAAAUCUGGCCUUGGUGGUGGUGGUGGUGGUGGUGGUGGUGGUGGUGGUGGUGGUGGUGGUGGUGGUGGUGUACACCUUUAAUCCCAGCAAAGGCAGACACUCUCUAAGUUGGAGGCCAGCCUGGUCUACAGAGUGAGUUCCAGGACAGCCAGGACUAUACAGAGAAACCCUGUUUUCAAAACAAAACCACAAAACAAACAAACAAAAGAUAAGAGAACUGGGUGUAGAGCCAGGAGUGAUGGCACAGUCUCUUCCACCCCUACUCCUCACCUGCCUCCCAAUCCCUCCCCACCUCCCUAUCCCUACCCCCCUCCCUGUCUGGGAGGCAGAGUUCAGGGCCAGCCUGGUCUACAGAAGAGUUGUAGGACAACUAGGGCUACACUGGGUGUUACUGGCAGUACAUGCCUGAAAUUCCUGCACUUGGGAGACAGAGGAUCAAUCAACCACAAGGUUCAGGCCAGCACAGUCUACACAGUAUAUUCCAGGCCAACCAGGGCUACCUGUCACAAAUAAGUUCAUUUUCAUCUUUUAAGUUUAGGCUCUUUCAAGACAACACUCACAAAACUACCUAAACUUAUUAAUUCAGAGAAGAAAAUGACUUCACUCACAUUUCUUCAAACCCACUCUGCAAAAUAGUAACUUAAGUACUGUAAAGUCUCAAAUGCUUGAGACAAAUGGCUGAAAUUGCUAUCUACCUUAUCAAAUCGAACCUCUUCCCCCAUCCCUCAGAUCCUAACCUGGUUUCUAAACCCCGCCCCCUAUAUUGAACUCUCGAGCCCCCUACCCUGAACUUUGCCACCCCAGCACAUGCGUGUGUAUGCACACACACACACACACACACACACACACACACACACACACACACACACAAAGUUGUACACAUUCUUUGAGAAACUAAUAUAUUCUCAAAGAAGUCCUGCCUGCCAUUUUCCUGCCACCUGGUGGAUUAGGUCUAUAAAAUACUACAGAUUAAUUCAGAGCAGAGUUGCAGGGAUCCAACCAUAGGCUGGUUUGACCCAAUUUUAUGUAUUGUACAUAAGGUGGGCAUUCUUAUAUGUAACUACUACUCUAUAUUUCUGACUCAGUCUUAAAGGCCCUGAAGAUAUAGUUCUGUAGUUAGAUUUCAUUCUUUACCAAUGUUGUAAUUAGAUCACUUUAUCAAUGUAUUUUUAAUAUGGUGCUUUCUCUAUUAUAAUAUUAACUAUAUAACAAAUUUUAAAAUAUUUGCCAAAAUUUUAUUUCCUAAUAAAAUCUGUUUCAGAAAUUA